GCUUGUUCGAAUGAAUCUUGAUCGGAGGAUAUCUCGGUUAGUCGUUUGUUAAUGAAUAAUGGAAUAUUACGCAAAUCACUAGGUGGGUACAUGGUUAGACUUACUAUGCACAUAAAGAGGUGCAUAAUAAGUCUAACCACCCACCUAGUGUUCUGCGUAAUAUUUCAUUAUCCUUAAACAAACGACUAACCGAGAUAUCCUCCGAUCAAGAUUCAUUCGAACAACC